GCGCUCGUAGCUCAGCUGGAUAGAGCAUCGGCCUUCGAAGCCGAGAGUCGCAGGGUCGAAUCCUGCCGGGCGCACCA
rnacentral:tRNA from 1 species